rnacentral:rRNA from 1 species
AAUGAACGCUGGCGGCGUGCCUAAUACAUGCAAGUCGAACGCUGAAGCAGGAGCUUGCUCGUCUGGAUGAUUAGCGGACGGGUGAGUAACGCGUAUGUAACCUGCCUUGUAGCGGGGGAUAACUAUUGGAAACGAUAGCUAAUACCGCAUGACAACAGGUGGUGCAUGAUAACUGUUUAAAAGGAGCAACUGCUCCACUACCAGAUGGACCUGCGUUGUAUUAGCUAGUUGGUGAGGUAACGGCUCACCAAGGCGACGAUACAUAGCCGACCUGAGAGGGUGAUCGGCCACACUGGGACUGAGACACGGCCCAGACUCCUACGGGAGGCAGCAGUAGGGAAUCUUCGGCAAUGGACGGAAGGCUGACUGAGCAACGCCGCGUGAGUGAAGAAGGUUUUCGGAUCGUAAAGCUCUGUUGUAAGAGAAGAACGAGUGUGAGAGUGGAAAGUUCACACUGUGACGGUAUCUUACCAGAAAGGGACGGCUAACUACGUG